AUUGAACGCUGGCGGCAUGCUUAACACGUGCAAGUCGAACGGCAGCACGAGGGGCUUGCUCCUUGGUGGCGAGUGGCGGACGGGUGAGUAAUGCAUAGGAAUUUGCCUAGUAGUGGGGGGACAACUCGAGGAAACUCGAGCUAAUACCGCAUAAGCCCUACGGGGGAAAGCGUGGGAUCUUCGGACCUCGCGCUAUUAGAUAAGCCUAUGUCCGAUUAGCUAGUUGGUAGGGUAAAGGCCUACCAAGGCGACGAUCGGUAGCUGGUCUGAGAGGAUGAUCAGCCACACUGGGACUGAGACACGGCCCAGACUCCUGCGGGAGGCAGCAGUGGGGAAUAUUGGACAAUGGGCGAAAGCCUGAUCCAGCAAUGCCGCGUGUGUGAAGAAGGCCUGCGGGUUGUAAAGCACUUUCAGUAGGGAGGAAACAGUAGCCGGUUAAUAUCCGGUUGCCUUGACGUUACCUACAGAAGAAGCACCGGCUAACUCUGUGCCAG
rnacentral:rRNA from 1 species